CUCAAAGAUUAAGCCAUGCAAGUGGUUAUAUUAACCCGACAGUUUAAAUAAGUGUUAAAUGCUACAUUAAACUUAUACACACUCACGCACACACACACCAUACGAUUUUGUUUACGGUAGUAACAAUUUCAGCGUGAAUCACUUCUUACACGCAGUGAAUCACUGGAAUUUACACAUUCAGUAUCACUUACGCAACUGCAGACAGCUGCUUAAUACAGUCACACUUGUCUUGACUUGGCGUCAUUUUAAAAAUUUCCUUAUUCGGAACACCUGCUCGCAGGCUUACGGGUGGAUUUUUUUAUAUCGACUUUUGUCGUGCAUACCCACGCAUUUCAAAAUUCAUUUUGAUUUCUCUGUAUCGCUUAUUCUCUAAGGACAUGCGUUACACCGUGACAAUUUUCUUUUAUGGAUAACUCAGGGAAAGUUUGGCUAAUACGUACGAGUACAUAUACCACACACACACACACACACACGAUACAAAAUUUAUUGUGUUUUGCUGCGUGUAUCGACACACCACACACACACACACACUUACUACUCAGCACUCAGUGGUAAACUUUGGCCGCGUUCGCGCAGUCAGUUUAAAGUUUAACUGCAACAUGAGAGACAUUGAGCACGCACGUGUCGUUCCUUCAGGAGCUUCACAUCACGCUGAGCAGACUUUGCGAAGUUUACUUUGCGAAGCAUGUCAUACAAGCAUCUACAGCAUCAAGUCACAGGGUUGGCAAGUGUAUUUUUGAACCUUCAAAGCAGUCACGCAUACGGAAGAGUAGUUUCUGAUCCCAUAGAAGGAGCACCGUACAAUGAGAGACCGCUCUUAGUUCUAAGGAACGCAGCAGGCGCGUAAAUUGCCCAAUGCUAGUACCCUACAAUCUAUUUAUAAAUUGUAACAUUACCAUGCGUUAACAAUUUACAACAUAACAAGUUUAUUACACAUAUAGCACUAUAUUUUUUUCUGUCACACAGAGAAGACAUCCUUGUUCGUUGUUUAUUCAGCAUAUAAGCUAUUAUUUUAUAUUAGUUUUUUACUGAGGCAGUGACAAGCUGUAACGGUUGAGUAUAAAAAUGACGAGUGUCUGGCAUUGCCGCUCUUUCGGGAGCUUGGCAAGUUGCCGACGCUUUGUGUGCUCAAUUGGAAUGCGGUGAGUUUAAGCAACUCAGAACCUUUGGACGGUGUUAGUAAAAUUUCACUGUUC
rnacentral:rRNA from 1 species